UAUACUCUUGUUCUCAGAUAAAAUCACCCUAACUGAGCCAAGGACUUGACACUUAUGAAGUCCCUCAGCUCUUAAAAACUAGGGCUUUGGUGAGAUAAAAUUCAUAUGCAGAGCUUGUGCUUCCUCUGUGUCCAUAAACAUAUCUGCUCCUAUUAAAAUCAAAGGAAAGCCUCCUGUUGGUUUCAGUGAGAGCAGACUGGAGCUUUGUAAUACCUGGAAGCAUCCCAUGCAACGCUGAUCUUCCACGUGCAAACAACUGCUGCUCCUUCAUAGGGAUGUGGAUAAUAUAUUCUUCUUUCUGACAGAACAAUAGGUGAGCAACAGCAGGC
rnacentral:lncRNA from 1 species